GACGAACGCUAGCGGCGUGCUUAACACAUGCAAGUCGAACGGAAAGGCCCUGCUUUUGUGGGGUGCUCGAGUGGCGGACGGGUGAGUAACACGUGAGUAACCUGCCCUUGACUUUGGGAUAACUUCAGGAAACUGGGGCUAAUACCGGAUAGGAGCUCCUGCUGCAUGGUGGGGGUUGGAAAGUUUCGGCGGUUGGGGAUGGACUCGCGGCUUAUCAGCUUGUUGGUGGGGUAGUGGCUUACCAAGGCUUUGACGGGUAGCCGGCCUGAGAGGGUGACCGGCCACAUUGGGACUGAGAUACGGCCCAGACUCCUACGGGAGGCAGCAGUGGGGAAUAUUGCACAAUGGGCGGAAGCCUGAUGCAGCAACGCCGCGUGCGGGAUGACGGCCUUCGGGUUGUAAACCGCUUUCGCCUGUGACGAAGCGUGAGUGACGGUAAUGGGUAAAGAAGCACCGGCUAACUACGUG
rnacentral:rRNA from 1 species